ACGACUCUCGACAACGGAUAUCCCGGCUCUCGCAUCGAUGAAGAACGUAGCGAAAUGCGAUACUUGGUGUGAAUUGCAGAAUCCCGUGAACCAUCGAGUCUUUGAACGCAAGUUGCGCCCGAAGCCACUAGGCUGAGGGCACGUCUGCCUGGGUGUCACGC
rnacentral:rRNA from 4 species